rnacentral:rRNA from 1 species
GACGAACGCUGGCGGCGUGCUUAACACAUGCCAGUCGAACGGAAAGGCCCUGCUUUUGUGGGGUGCUCGAGUGGCGAACGGGUGAGUAACACGUGAGUAACCUGCCCUUGACUUUGGGAUAACUUCAGGAAACUGGGGCUAAUACCGGAUAGGAGCUCCUGCUGCAUGGUGGGGGUUGGAAAGUUUCGGCGGUUGGGGAUGGACUCGCGGCUUAUCAGCUUGUUGGUGGGGUAGUGGCUUACCAAGGCUUUGACGGGUAGCCGGCCUGAGAGGGUGACCGGCCACAUUGGGACUGAGAUACGGCCCAGACUCCUACGGGAGGCAGCAGUGGGGAAUAUUGCACAAUGGGCGGAAGCCCGAUGCAGCAACGCCGCGUGCGGGAUGACGGCCUUCGGGUUGUAAACCGCUUUCGCCUGUGACGAAGCGUGAGUGACGGUAAUGGGUAAAGAAGCACCGGCUAACUACGUG